UGAUGUUAGCGGCGGACGGGUGAAGUAACACGUGGGUAACCUGCCUGUAAGACUGGGAUAACUCCGGGAAACCGGGGCUAAUACCGGAUGGUUGUCUGAACCGCAUGGUUCAGACAUAAAAGGUGGCUUCGGCUACCACUUACAGAUGGACCCGCGGCGCAUUAGCUAGUUGGUGAGGUAACGGCUCACCAAGGCGACGAUGCGUAGCCGACCUGAGAGGGUGAUCGGCCACACUGGGACUGAGACACGGCCCAGACUCCUACGGGAGGCAGCAGUAGGGAAUCUUCCGCAAUGGACGAAAGUCUGACGGAGCAACGCCGCGUGAGUGAUGAAGGUUUUCGGAUCGUAAAGCUCUGUUGUUAGGGAAGAACAAGUGCCGUUCAAAUAGGGCGGCACCUUGACGGUACCUAACCAGAAAGCCACGGCUAACUACGUGCCAGCAGCCGCGGUAAUACGUAGGUGGCAAGCGUUGUCCGGAAUUAUUGGGCGUAAAGGGCUCGCAGGCGGUUUCUUAAGUCUGAUGUGAAAGCCCCCGGCUCAACCGGGGAGGGUCAUUGGAAACUGGGGAACUUGAGUGCAGAAGAGGAGAGUGGAAUUCCACGUGUAGCGGUGAAAUGCGUAGAGAUGUGGAGGAACACCAGUGGCGAAGGCGACUCUCUGGUCUGUAACUGACGCUGAGGAGCGAAAGCGUGGGGAGCGAACAGGAUUAGAUACCCUGGUAGUCCACGCCGUAAACGAUGAGUGCUAAGUGUUAGGGGGUUUCCGCCCCUUAGUGCUGCAGCUAACGCAUUAAGCACUCCGCCUGGGGAGUACGGUCGCAAGACUGAAACUCAAAGGAAUUGACGGGGGCCCGCACAAGCGGUGGAGCAUGUGGUUUAAUUCGAAGCAACGCGAAGAACCUUACCAGGUCUUGACAUCCUCUGACAAUCCUAGAGAUAGGACGUCCCCUUCGGGGGCAGAGUGACAGGUGGUGCAUGGUUGUCGUCAGCUCGUGUCGUGAGAUGUUGGGUUAAGUCCCGCAACGAGCGCAACCCUUGAUCUUAGUUGCCAGCAUUCAGUUGGGCACUCUAAGGUGACUGCCGGUGACAAACCGGAGGAAGGUGGGGAUGACGUCAAAUCAUCAUGCCCCUUAUGACCUGGGCUACACACGUGCUACAAUGGACAGAACAAAGGGCAGCGAAACCGCGAGGUUAAGCCAAUCCCACAAAUCUGUUCUCAGUUCGGAUCGCAGUCUGCAACUCGACUGCGUGAAGCUGGAAUCGCUAGUAAUCGCGG
rnacentral:rRNA from 1 species